UACGUAGGGUGCAAGCGUUGUCCGGAAUUAUUGGGCGUAAAGAGCUCGUAGGCGGUCUGUCACGUCUGCUGUGAAAACUCGGGGCUUAACCCCGGGCCUGCAGUGGGUACGGGCAGACUAGAGUGCGGUAGGGGAGACUGGAAUUCCUGGUGUAGCGGUGAAAUGCGCAGAUAUCAGGAGGAACACCAAUAGCGAAGGCAGCUCGCUGGGACGAUACUGACGCUAAGGCGCGAAAGCGUGGGGAGCGAACAGG
rnacentral:rRNA from 1 species